rnacentral:tRNA from 2 species
GCCCGGAUGGCGGAAUUGGUAGACGCGCACGACUCAAACUCGUGUACGAAAGUGUGUGGGUUCGAUUCCCACUCUGGGUACUA